UCCGGUUUGACACCGGCAGUCCCGCUAGAGUGCGCGUCCCGAAGGACGGUAGCAACUAGAGGCAGGGGUUUCGCUCGUUAGAGGACUUAACCCGACACUUCACAGCACGAGCUGACGACAGCCAUGCAGCACCUGUGCACGUUCCACCUUGCGGUGUCAUUUCCCUUUCAGGAAACUAAUCCGUGCAUGUCAAGCCCAGGUAAGGUUUUUCGCGUUGCGUCGAAUUGAACCACAUGCUCCACCGCUUGUGCGGGUCCCCGUCAAUUCCUUUGAGUUUCGGUCUUGCGACCGUACUCCCCAGGCGGAGUGUUUCACGCGUUAGCUGGGCCCCUGAUCCACGUAGACCAAGGGCGAACACUCAUCGUUUACGGCAUGGACUAC
rnacentral:misc_RNA from 1 species